rnacentral:lncRNA from 1 species
UGUACAGGAAGCAGUGAGAUUGAUAGUCCCACCAGAAUGCCAUGGGAUGCAAGAAGAGCGGUUCCCAGUGAAGAUGAUUCCCCCAGACAACUGAUGUUCCUGGUUAGGCUAAGUCCAUCCAGGCAUGAUGAAUCUGAUAACCUUGGCCACACGAGAGGUGAGAAACUUCAUUGGCCAACAUGGCCAGCACGGAAAGGAGUGUUUGAGCCCUACU